UUUUUUUUGCUACCAGCACGGCUGAAUGAACACCAACAAAUCUCUUUGCAGAAGUUAGGGCAACGUCGAGGAUCUGCCACAACAUGUCCUUCCAACUCCUGGGCACCAGGAAAAUCCUAACCACUAUUUGGGGCACUUGGACGGUCUUCAACUUCACUUUGAAAGAAUAAUCAGAAUUGCUAUCAUUUUUAUAGAGGAUUCUAAUGGCAGUUCUGUGGAACUAGAUGAACCAGGGUGGAAAAAAAGGUCAUUUUGCUGCCAGCUGGGUGACAUGAGGGCCAAAACUCUGGAUUUCUGAGCAGCACAAUGAGCUGGCAAGUGAGCUCUUUUAAAGACCCAAUUCAAUCAAUAAGCAAUCAAUAAGAACUUGAAUAUACUUGCCUCAAGAAGUGCUGGAGAAAGCCUUCCAAAGCUGAAGAGAACCGGAACUAAGCCAAAGAUUCAUAUUGCUACAAUAAGUAGUCAAAUAUUCUA